rnacentral:rRNA from 1 species
AACGCGAAGAACCUUACCUACCCUUGACAUCCUGCGAAGCCCGGUGAGAUCUGGGUGUGCCGAAAGGAACGCAGAGACAGGUGCUGCAUGGCUGUCGUCAGCUCGUGUUGUGAGAUGUUGGGUUAAGUCCCGUAACGAGCGCAACCCUUGUUCUUAGUUACCAGCGAGUAAAGUCGGGGACUCUAAGAAGACUGCCGGUGAUGAACCGGAGGAAGGCGGGGACGACGUCAAGUCAUCAUGGCCUUUAUGGGUAGGGCUACACACGUGCUACAAUGGGGCGUACAGAGGGUAGCCAACCAGCGAUGGGGAGCCAAUCUCAGAAAGCGUCUCGUAGUCCGGAUUGGAGUCUGCAACUCGACUCCAUGAAGUUGGAAUCGCUAGUAAUCGCGAAUCAGCAUUGUCGCGGUGAAUACGUUCCCGGGCCUUGUACACACCGGUAUCUC